rnacentral:lncRNA from 1 species
GAGGAGCAGGCAGCUGUGGUGCUGAGAUAGGAGCUUGAAAUGCUUCAUGGUGCCAAGACUGUCAUAAACGGCUCCUGGGGUCUGAAAAAACGACAGCAGGAUUCAGCGUUCCUCUGACAACCACUCAGAAAAUAGAAUGUGAAGAAGAAGGAGGAAGGGAAGAUGCGGGGCCAGCCAUCAGAAUGUUCCCUGUGGCUCCAUGGAUGCCUAGAAAUGCUAGUCACUUCAAGGGCACAGAAUGUCAAAUGACUGAAGUAAAAGAGGAAGUAACAUUGCUCAGGGAUGGAGAUUUGUGGCUUCUCUCUUUGGAAAGAUGAGAAAGGGACUAGAAAAUCCUCUGGAUGGGCCUUCAAAGGGAUGAAAUAUGGACCAUUAGCUGAGUCAGCUGACUCUUGUGUGAUUGGACCUCUGCCCAGUCCUCCCACACCCUCUGGUAUCGUCUUGCCCCUCCAUCUGGGGGAUCCAGCCCAUGGCCUUUUUGGUUUCUGAGGAAUCUUGCCUACAGUCUUCCCUCUGCUUGGGAUGUUCUUUACCCAAACACAGCGACUUGAUAAACACGGUAAUGUACUGCUGUACGCAACUAU